rnacentral:rRNA from 1 species
UCGAGAAUCUUCGGCAAUGGGCGCAAGCCUGACCGAGCGACGCCGCGUGGAGGACGACGGCCUUCGGGUUGUAAACUCCUGUCGAGGGGGGCCAAGGCCGCGCGAAGAGCGCGGCUCGAGGGAACCCUGGAGGAAGCACGGGCUAAGUUCGUGCCAGCAGCCGCGGUAAGACGAACCGUGCGAACGUUAUUCGGAAUCACUGGGCUUAAAGCGCGUGUAGGCGGGCCGGCACGUCGACGGCUGAAAGCCCCCGGCUCAACCGGGGAAUGGGCCUCGAUACGACCGGCCUGGAGGGGCGUAGGGGGACCGGGAACUUCCGGUGGAGCGGUGAAAUGCGUUGAGAUCGGAAGGAACGCCCGCGGCGAAAGCGCGGUCCUGGACGCCUGCUGACGCUGAGACGCGAAAGCCAGGGGAGCGAACGGGAUUAGAUACCCCUGUAGUCC